GACGAACGCUGGCGGCGUGCUUAACACAUGCAAGUCGAACGAGGGAAUUCUUUUCGGAGAAUAUACCGAGUGGCAAACGGGUGAGUAACGCGUAAGCAACCUGCCCUUCAGAUGGGGACAACAGCUGGAAACAGCUGCUAAUACCGAAUACGUUCUUUUUGUCGCAUGGCAGAGGGAAGAAAGGGAGGCUCUUCGGAGCUUUCGCUGAAGGAGGGGCUUGCGUCUGAUUAGCUAGUUGGAGGGGUAACAGCCCACCAAGGCGACGAUCAGUAGCCGGACUGAGAGGUUGAACGGCCACAUUGGGACUGAGAUACGGCCCAGACUCCUACGGGAGGCAGCAGUCGGAAUAUUGCGCAAUGGAGGAAACUCUGACGCAGUGACGCCGCGGUAUAGGAAGAAGGUUUUCGGAUUGUAAACUAUUGUCGUGAGGG
rnacentral:rRNA from 1 species